rnacentral:rRNA from 1 species
CCUACGGGUGGCAGCAGUGGGGGAUAUUGCACAAUGGGGGGAACCCUGAUGCAGCGACGCCGCGUGGGUGAAGAAGCGCCUCGGCGCGUAAAGCCCUUUCAGCAGGGAAGAAAAUGACGGUACCUGAAGAAGAAGCCCCGGCUAACUAAGUGCCAGCCGCCCCGGGUAUACGUAGGGGGCAAGCGUGAUCCGGAUUUUCGGGGUGUAAAGGGGGCGCAAUCGGCGAUGCAAGCCAGGAGGGAAAGCCCGGGGGCCAACCCCGGGACUGCUCUUGAAACUGCGUGGCUGGAGUGCAGGAGGGGCAGGCGGAAUUCCUGGUGUAGCGGUGAAAUGCGUAGAUAUCAGGAGGAACACCGAUGGCGAAGGCGGCCUGCUGGACUGCAACUGACGUUGAGGCCCGAAAGCGUGGGGAGCAAACAGGAUUAGAUACCCUGGUAGUC